ACGUUGUUUGGUGGUACAUCCCCACUGUGCAUUGCCAUAUUCCCUCCCCUCUUUACACUGAAACUACCGAGCGCCAAGGGAAGUAGUCAGAACGCGAUCAGUGUCAGACCGGCGGUCAGCGCGUUCGGUUAUCCUAGUUAAGAGUGUGUGUUUUCUAAUCGAUUCUUUAUUAUCCGAUUGACGAUUUGUAUAUAACGAAAAAAAAAGGAGGGAAAAAAAAUUUGUGCUUUAAAAUUUCACUGUGAAAUUUGGUACCAGUGACUUUCUUUCUCCCUUUAUCCCUUUCUUUUUCAUACGCCUUUUUUAAAAGGGGACGGAACUAAGGCCCUAUAAGAGAUUUUCGAAGUGUUAAUAGCGGAUAAACGUUCGAAUUUUCCCGGACAUUAAGAAAUAAUGAUACGAGGGCAAGAAAGUCAAGGAAUGAACGAGGAGAAGGUGGUGACAGGAAAGUGGUACGAGUAGUGAAAGAGAUCAUGAAUAUCUAACGAAUUGAUAGGCUCUAUCUCCUUUCUUUUUUCUCUUUCUUUCAUUCUCUCUCUCUCUCUCUCUCUCUCUUUCUCUCUCUCUCUCUCUCUCUCUCUCUCUCUUUCUUGUUCUUAUAGGAAAACGUAGAAAAUUGAAGAAGGAGGAAGGAGGACGGGAAAAGGGAAGAAGAAGAAAAAGAUUGGAUUCUUGAAUGGGACACGGAGGCCAUUAGCGACAAAAAGAAAAGAAAAGAAAAGAGAAGAAAGUAAAAAGAAAAAAAGAAAGAAAGAAAGAAGAAAAAGAAAGAAUUGUCGAUGAAGAUCGAUGUACCAAGUCGAUCGAUAAUAAAAUACACUUAAAGAAUAAAAAGAAAUAAAGAAGAAAGAGAAAAGUGUACAAAGCGAAGAUAGAAAAAAAAAAAAAUAGAGAGAGAGAGAGAGAGGGAGAGAGUGAGUGAGAGGAGGGGGGGGGAGGAUAGUGAAGAAGACAUACAUCAGAAAAGAGAAGAAAAAAAAGAAAAAAAGAAAAAAGAAAAGAAGAACGAGAAAAAUGGUAUUUCUAAUGUUUCCCAACAAUACGAAUAGAUUUUUAUUGAUUCGCUAGUGUCAGAGACGAUGAUGAAUAUUUUUCGGGAGAGGAAUUAACGAAAGUCUCGUUUUUAUUCAAAAAAAAAAACAAAGAAAUCAAACGAAAUCUUUUUGAAAAUUUAAAACGAUAAACCAAUCGUGAAUGGAUUGUUCAAUUCGUCGUCCUCGUUGUCCUGGUAGUCUGUCAUUUUAUUGACAGAUUUGAAGGAACAAAAAAAAAAAAGAGGAAAGUGAAAAAGUCUUCUUAAAACUUUU